GGCAGCGAGGUGUGGGGUCCACUUUAUGGCAGUGAGGUGUGGGGUCCACUUUAUGGCAGUGAGGUGUGGGGUCCACUUUAUGGCAGUGAGGUGUGGGGUCCACUUUAUGGCAGUGAGGUGUGGGGUCCACUUUAUGGCAGUGAGGUGUGGGGUCCACUUUAUGGCAGUGAGGUGUGUGGUCCACUUUAUGGCAGUGAGGUGUGGGGUCCACUUUAUGGCAGCGAGGUGUGGGGUCCACUUUAUGGCAGUGAGGUGUGGGGUCCACUUUAUGGCAGUGAGGUGUGGGGUCCACUUUAUGGCAGUGAGGUGUGGGGUCCACUUUAUGGCAGCGAGGUGUGGGGUCCACUUUAUGG